UACAGAGGUCCCAAGCGUUGUUCGGAUUCAUUGGGCGUAAAGGGUGCGUAGGCGGCGCGGCAAGUCGGGUGUGAAAUCUCGGAGCUUAACUCCGAAACUGCAUUCGAUACUGCCGUGCUUGAGGACUGGAGAGGAGACUGGAAUUUACGGUGUAGCGGUGAAAUGCGUAGAUAUCGUAAGGAAGACCAGUGGCGAAGGCGGGUCUCUGGACAGUUCCUGACGCUGAGGCACGAAAGCCAGGGGAGCAAACGGG
rnacentral:rRNA from 1 species